ensembl:snRNA U6 U6 spliceosomal RNA
AUACUCGCUUGGGCAGCACAUAUACUAAAAUUGGAACAAUACAGAGAUUAGCAGAGUCCCUGUGCAAGGAUGACAGGCAAAUUUUUGAAGUGUUGCAUUUUUUU